rnacentral:lncRNA from 1 species
ACAACACGCUACUCGAUCAUUCCAUCAAAACAGGUACACAGCACAGGAUCCCGCACGGCCCCUAGAGCACUCAUCGCAAUAGGGGGAUCACAAUGAAGUGGAGCGCGGCUCAACAGUUCGAUGCACAGAGCACAGAGCCUGCCAACACGCACAACCGAAUCACCACUCACGCGCCGCACGUACAAUAGGCAACAAGCACACCGAAAGACAUGAACACAAGAGAGUUGCACCAAUCGAGUGUCCAAAUUCUGUCAGCGCACCGCACAUACGCCGCUAAGCGCGGAAAAACCGAGAAGGGACAUGGGGCACCCCGCGCACCACAGCAUAAGCAACGAGAGCACCGAAACGAGCAGAACACGUGAGACUAAUGUCGAUCGUGAGCAUUCCACUACCAUCGGCACGCCGCACCCAUGCAGCUUAGCACGAGAAACCCGUGAGGGGCCGACCGAGGGCACCGCGCACCGCGGCAUAAGCAUCUAGCGCACCGAAACGAGCGGAACACGUGAGACUAACGUCGAUCGAGAGCAUUCCACUUCCAUCGGCACGCCGCACCCAUGCAGCUUAGCGCGGUAAACCCGAGAGGGACCGAGGGCACCGCGCACCGCGGCAUAAGCAACUAGCGCACCGAAACGAGCGGAACACGUGAGACUAACGUCGAUCGAGAGCAUUCCACUACCAUCGGCACGCCGCACCCAUGCAGCUUAGCGCGGUAAACCCGAGAGGGACCGAGGGCACCGCGCACCGCGGCAUAAGCAACUAGCGCACCGAAACGAGCGGAACACGUGAGACUAACGUCGAUCGAGAGCAUUCCACUACCAUCGGCACGCCGCACCCAUGCAGCUUAGCGCGGUAAACCCGAGAGGGACCGAGGGCACCGCGCACCGCGGCAUAAGCAUCUAGCGCACCGAAA